rnacentral:rRNA from 1 species
AAAUUGAAGAGUUUGAUCAUGGCUCAGAUUGAACGCUGGCGGCAGGCCUAACACAUGCAAGUCGAGCGGAAACGAGUUAUCUGAACCUUCGGGGAACGAUAACGGCGUCGAGCGGCGGACGGGUGAGUAAUGCCUAGGAAAUUGCCUUGAUGUGGGGGAUAACCAUUGGAAACGAUGGCUAAUACCGCAUAAUGCCUACGGGCCAAAGAGGGGGACCUUCGGGCCUCUCGCGUCAAGAUAUGCCUAGG